rfam:Candidatus Rokubacteria bacterium RIFCSPLOWO2_12_FTLL_69_21 rifcsplowo2_12_scaffold_31719, whole genome shotgun sequence.
CGCGCUCGAACAAGCGCGGAGUCGCGCAGCGACUGGGUGACGGUUGGCGCUGGGUGUUAUUAGGAGCCGAAGCCGGCACGGUCCCGCCACUGUAAGUGGGGAGCGGCGUCCAGAUCCGGUACUACGGAGCCACUGUCCGCACUCUCGCGGAUGGGAAGGCUGGGCGCCCGCGAUGAUCCACGAGUCAGGAGACCUCUCCGGGGUGGUGGCAUCCA